GGCCUUGCACGCUCCGGGUGGUCCUGGAGGUCUGGCUUCAAACCAGAUUGGCUCGACAAGGGCCAGGGGUUCGAUUCCCUUGCGAGGCCGCCA
rnacentral:tRNA from 1 species